rnacentral:rRNA from 1 species
CCUACGGGUGGCAGCAGUGAGGAAUAUUGGUCAAUGGCCGUAAGCCUGAACCAGCCAAGUAGCGUGAGGGAAGACUGCCCUAUGGGUUGUAAACCUCUUUUAUGCGGGGAUAAAGGUGUCCACGUGUGGAUGUUUGCAGGUACCGCAUGAAUAAGGACCGGCUAAUUCCGUGCCAGCAGCCGCGGUAAUACGGAGGGUCCGGGCGUUAUCCGGAUUUAUUGGGUUUAAAGGGAGCGUAGGCCGGUCUUUAAGCUUGUCGUGAAAUUUUGUGGCUUAACCAGGAGAGUGCGGCGAGAACUGGAGACCUUGAGUGCAGGGACGGCAGGCGGAAUGCGUGGUGUAGCGGUGAAAUGCUUAGAUAUCACGAAGAACCCCGAUUGCGAAGGCAGCCUGCCGCAGCGUUACUGACGCUGAGGCUCGAAAGCGUGGGGAGCAAACAGGAUUAGAUACCCGAGUAGUC